rnacentral:rRNA from 1 species
CAGUAACGGCGAGUGAAGCGGCAACAGCUCAAAUUUGAAAUCUGGCUCUUUCGGGGUCCGAAUUGUAAUUUGUAGAGAGUGCUUCGGGCGAGACCUCGGUCUAAGUCCAUUGGAACAUGGUGUCAUAGAGGGUGAGAAUCCCGUAUGCGACCGUGGCUCGAGCCCAUGUGAAGCCUCUUCGACGAGUCGAGUUGUUUGGGAAUGCAGCUCAAAACGGGUGGUAAAUUUCAUCUAAAGCUAAAUACUGGCUGGAGACCGAUAGCGCACAAGUAGAGUGAUCGAAAGAUGAAAAGCACUUUGGAAAGAGAGUCAAACAGUACGUGAAAUUGUUGAAAGGGAAGCGCUUGCAACCAGACCUGCCCGUAGGCGAUCAGCCGCUGUUCUCAGCGGUGCACUCGCUCUGCGAUCAGGCCAGCAUCGGUUUCGGCGGUCGGAUAAAGGCCUUGGGAAUGUAGCUUCCCUUCGGGGAAGUCUUAUAGCCCUCGGUGCAAUGCGGCCAGCCGGGACCGAGGACCGCGCUUCGGCUAGGAUGCUGGCGUAAUGGUUGUAAGCGACCCGUCUUGAAACACGGACCAAGGAGUCUAACAUCUAUGCGAGUGUUUGGGUGUCAAACCCAUACGCGGAAUGAAAGUGAACGGAGGUGAGAACCCUUAAGGGCGCAUCAUCGACCGAUCCAGAUGUCUUCGGAUGGAUUUGAGUAUGAGCAUAGCUGUUGGGACCCGAAAGAUGGUGAACUAUGCCUGAAUAGGGUGAAGCCAGAGGAAACUCUGGUGGAGGCUCGCAGCGGUUCUGACGUGCAAAUCGAUCGUCAAAUUUGGGUAUAGGGGCGAAAGACUAAUC